UGGGGAAUAUUGGACAAUGGGCGCAAGCCUGAUCCAGCCAUGCCGCGUGAACGAUGAAGGCCUUAGGGUUGUAAAGUUCUUUUGUCAGGGAAGAUAAUGACGGUACCUGAAGAAUAAGCACCGGCUAACUUCGUGCCAGCAGCCGCGGUAAUACGAAGGGUGCUAGCGUUGUUCGGAAUCACUGGGCGUAAAGCGCGCGUAGGCGGCUUAACAAGUCAGAGGUGAAAGCCUGGAGCUCAACUCCAGAACUGCCUUUGAAACUGUUAAGCUUGAGUGUCGGAGGGGAUAGCGGAAUUUCUAAUGUAGAGGUGAAAUUCGUAGAUAUUAGAAGGAACACCGGUGGCGAAGGCGGCUAUCUGGACGACAACUGACGCUGAGGCGCGAAAGCGUGGGGAUCAAACAGGAUUAGAUACCCCAGUAGUCCCUGAGCGGGCUGGCAAGGCGCAU
rnacentral:rRNA from 1 species